rnacentral:rRNA from 1 species
AUCUACAGCCAUACCACCCCAAAUGUGCCUGAUCUCAUCUGAUUUUGGAAGUUAAGCAGGGUGGGCCUGGUUAGUACUUGGAUGGGAGAAACAGAUUUAUCACUU